rnacentral:rRNA from 1 species
UGAGGAAUAUUGGUCAAUGGCCGGAAGGCUGAACCAGCCAUCCCGCGUGCAGGAUGACGGCCCUAUGGGUUGUAAACUGCUUUUGUACCUGAAGAAACCUGGUUACGUGUAGCCAGUUGCCGGUAAGGUAUGAAUAAGCAUCGGCUAACUCCGUGCCAGCAGCCGCGGUAAUACGGAGGAUGCAAGCGUUAUCCGGAUUCAUUGGGUUUAAAGGGUGCGCAGGUGGGAAAAUAAGUCAGUGGUGAAAUACUGCCGCUUAACGGUAGAAUUGCCAUUGAUACUGUUUUUCUUGAGUAUGGUUGAGGUAGGUGGAAUGUGUUGUGUAGCGGUGAAAUGCAUAGAUAUGACACAGAACGCCAAUUGCGAAGGCAGCUUACUAAGCCAUUACUGACGCUGAGGCACGAAAGCGUGGGGAUCAAACA